rnacentral:misc_RNA from 1 species
UCUUCAGAUGAUGAUCCCAAGCCUUCUGGCGCUCGACGCAAAAUAUGGCCCUUAUUUGGGUAUUGGGAAGAGACUUUUCCGUUUUAUGAGAUUAUGCCGGAGAAGGUUUUCUGGUUUGCCCCGGAGGGCUUGUAGCUCAGUUGGUUAGAGCGCGCGCUUGAUAAGCGUGAGGUCGGAGGUUCAAGUCCUCCCAGGCCCACCACCUUUAUAAGUGCUUAUAACGGUUACUUGUAAAAAGUUUGUUCUGCUUAUUCCUUUUGUUAGAGCAGUUCGUCUUGUAAGGUUUUGAACGCCUUUUAAAUUUAUGGGGCCGUAGCUCAGCUGGGAGAGCACCUGCUUUGCAAGCAGGGGGUCGUCGG